AGUGAACGCUGGCGGUAGGCCUAACACAUGCAAGUCGAACGGCAGCACAGUAAGAGCUUGCUCUUACGGGUGGCGAGUGGCGGACGGGUGAGGAAUACAUCGGAAUCUACUUUUUCGUGGGGGAUAACGUAGGGAAACUUACGCUAAUACCGCAUACGACCUACGGGUGAAAGCAGGGGAUCUUCGGACCUUGCGCGAUUGAAUGAGCCGAUGUCGGAUUAGCUAGUGGGCGGGGUAAAGGCCCACCAAGGCGACGAUCCGUAGCUGGUCAGGGAGAUGGAUCGGCGCUAGUCGGACUGGAAGACGGGCCAGACUCCUACGGAGGGACGCAGCGGGGAAUAUUGGACAAUGGGAGCAAGCCUGAUCCAGCAAUACCGGGUGGGUUAAGAAGGCAUUCGGGUGGUAAAGCCGUUUUGUUGGGAAAGAAAAGCAGCAGGCUAAUAAGCCGCUGUUCUGACGGUACCCAAAGAAUAAGCACCGGCUAACUUCGUG
rnacentral:rRNA from 1 species